UUGAUAAGCGUGAGGUCGGAGGUUCAAGUCCUCCCAGGCCCACCAGUUUAUCCAUUACUUUCAUAAGUGCUUUUAAAAAAUAAGUACUUCUAAAAAGAUUGCUUCUAAAAAGCUUAUCAAAAUUGGCAGGCUUAUUGCUUUUGUGUGAGUAAUCCAAAGUUAAAGCAAAUUAAUGGCAAAAAAACAGUUCAAAUGCUAAAUACUAAGGAGUCAAAAUUCCUUGCAAAGUGAUUUUUACAGCGUCCAUUUGGUUGAUAUAAAUUCCAAAUGCUCAUAGACGUCAAUGCCUAUAUGAAACUAUCGGUUCAAUCAUAUCGCUUUGAGUUAUAUAGAUUUUGUAAUCCCUCUUUUGAUCGUUUUAAACGCUUUAUCCUGAUUUAGGGGCCGUAGCUCAGCUGGGA
rnacentral:misc_RNA from 1 species